UGGCCCAGCUCUUUCCCUGUCCUAGUUUCCUUUAUGUGGAUGUUUUGUAGUAUUCCAGACUCCUCCACAAAUCCAGAUCUGGUUUUGGGGCCUGCCUUCCUCUCUCUCUUUCUCUCUUUUUUCAUCUCUGCCUUUUCUCCUUUUCUCCCUCUCUCCCUCUUUCCCCCUCCCAUCCUCUCUGCGCUGUACUCUCAGGGGGGAUCUCAGCACUGCUGCAGCAUCACUAACAACCUCAAUCCAGGAGGCUGGGAAAGAGAGGCGGAAGAGGGAGAAAAACCUGAAUGAAUGGGCAUCGCAUCAGUGAUCAUUAUGGGGAGGACGCUGGCUGCUGCAUAGAAAAGAGGAUUUUUUUUCUUUGAAGACGGAAAAAAGAGGGGAGGGAAGCAGACAAGAGAAAGAAGACAGAACUGAGACAACAGUUAAGACAAAGCUUUCCCACAAAGCUUUCUUUGGACAAGUACUAUACUGCAAGGGAGAGCACCUGCUGGUGGAACGUCUGCUGUCCCUUCCUUUGACAUCCAGACUAAAGAGGCUCUUCUUCCUGUUUUCUGUUCAUCACUGAGAAGCUGCUUUCUUCUCCUGCCAGGCACCAGGUUUCCAUGUGGCAAACAGCUGUGCAUGGCAAGCAUCCAGAAACAACAAGGUUCUUCUGAAAGGCAGGAUUGUUUCUGGUGAGAAAUUGAACGCACUGAUGACUAUUCUUAUGGUACCGUAAUAUGAUACCAUCAAACUAAAGGAAGAGACCUGUUAUAUGAGAUCAGCAAUUAUCAUCUAAUGAGUUCUUUCCUACCAUAGCUACUCAAAUGCUUCUGAGAUGUCCACAAGCAAGACCUUCAUGAGUACCAAGCCAGGAAUUGAGAGAAACGAGAAGAAGGCACGGCCCUGAGUAGGACCUGUCCCUAAACAACAAGGAGACGU